GACGAACGCUGGCGGCGUGCUUAACACAUGCAAGUCGAACGGAAAGGCCCUGCUUUCGUGGGGUGCCCGAGUGGCGAACGGGUGAGUAACACGUGAGUAACCUGCUCUUGACUUUGGGAUAACUUCAGGAAACUGGGGCUAAUACCGGAUAGGAGCCCCCGCUGCAUGGUGGGGGUUGGAAAGUUUCGGCGGUCGGGGAUGGACUCGCGGCUUAUCAGCUUGUUGGUGGGGUAGUGGCUUACCAAGGCUUUGACGGGUAGCCGGCCUGAGAGGGUGACCGGCCACAUUGCGACUGAGAUACGGCCCAGACUCCUACGGGAGGCAGCAGUGGGGAAUAUUGCACAAUGGGCGGAAGCCUGAUGCAGCAACGCCGCGUGCGGGAUGACGGCCUUCGGGUUGUAAACCGCUUUCGCCUGUGACGAAGCGUGAGUGACGGUAAUGGGUAAAGAAGCACCGGCUAACUACGUG
rnacentral:rRNA from 1 species